rnacentral:rRNA from 1 species
AGGUAAGCUACUAAGAGCGAAUGGUGGAUGCCUUGACUGGUAGAGGCGAUGAAGGACGUACUAGACUGCGAUAAGCUAGGUGGAGCUGUCAAGAAGCUUUGAUGCCUAGAUUUCCGAAUGGGGCAACCCAGUAUAUAGAGAUAUAUACUACCAUAAUGGAGCGAACGAGGGGAAUUGAAACAUCUUAGUACCCUCAGGAAAAGAAAUCAAACGAGAUUGCGUCAGUAGCGGCGAGCGAAAGCGUAAGAGGGCAAACCCAGUGCUUGCACUGGGGGUUGUAGGACUGCAAUGUGCAAGAGGAAAGGUUAGCAGAACACUCUGGAAAGUGUAGCCAUAGAGGGUGAUAGUCCCGUAUGCAAAAACCUAACCUUAGCUAGCAGUAUCCUGAGUAGGGCGGGACACGAGAAAUCCUGUCUGAAGCUGGGUAGACCACUAUCCAACCCUAAAUACUACUACCAGAUCGAUAGCGAACAAGUACCGUGAGGGAAAGGUGAAAAGAACGGCGGUGAGCCGAGUGAAAUAGAACCUGAAACCAUUUGCUUACAAUCAUUCAGAGCACUAUGUAGCAAUACAGUGUGAUGGACUGCCUUUUGCAUAAUGAGCCUGCGAGUUGUGGUGUCUGGCAAGGUUAAGCUAACGCGAAGCCGUAGCGAAAGCGAGUCUGAAUAGGGCGCUAAGUCAGAUGCUGCAGACCCGAAACGAAGUGAUCUAUCCAUGAGCAGGUUGAAGCUAGUGUAAGAACUAGUGGAGGACCGAACCCGCUAGCGUUGAAAAGCUAUGGGAUGACUUGUGGAUAGGGGUGAAAGGCCAAUCAAACUUCGUGAUAGCUGGUUCUCUCCGAAAUAUAUUUAGGUAUAGCGUUGUGUCGUAACUAAAGGGGGUAGAGCACUGAAUGGGCUAGGGCAUACACCAAUGUACCAAACCCUAUCAAACUCCGAAUACCUUUAGUGUAAUCACAGCAGUCAGGCGGCGAGUGAUAAAAUCCGUCGUCAAGAGGGAAACAACCCAGACUAACAGCUAAGGUCCCCAAAUCUUACUUAAGUGGAAAACGAUGUGAAGUUACUUAAACAACCAGGAGGUUGGCUUAGAAGCAGCCAUCCUUUAAAGAAAGCGUAAUAGCUCACUGGUCUAGUGAUUUUGCGCGGAAAAUAUAACGGGGCUAAAGUAAGUACCGAAGCUUUAGACUUGCAUACAACUUAGAUGAUUUAAAUUUAGAAUAUGAGAAGCUAAAUUUAUUUUUAUUUAUUUUUGCUUAUCUUUAUUCAUUUUUAUAGAGUAAAGAUAAAAACAAAAACUUCGUAAAAAUAAUAAAAUAUAGUAAAAAACAAUAAAAAUAUUCUUAGAUUAAAAGUUAAGUCGUUUAAGUUGUGUGCAAGUGGUAGGAGAGCGUUCUAUUUGCGUCGAAGGUAUACCGACAAGGAGUGCUGGAGCGAAUAGAAGUGAGCAUGCAGGCAUGAGUAGCGAUAAUUAAUGUGAGAAUCAUUAACGCCGUAAACCCAAGGUUUCCUACGCGAUGCUCGUCAUCGUAGGGUUAGUCGGGUCCUAAGCUGAGUCCGAAAGGGGUAAGCGAUGGCAAAUAGGUUAAUAUUCCUAUACCAACAUUAGUGUGCGAUGGAAGGACGCUUAGGGCUAAGGGGGCUAGCGGAUGGAAGUGCUAGUCUAAGGUCGUAGGAGGUUAUACAGGCAAAUCCGUAUAACAAUACUCCGAGAACUGAAAGGCUUUUUGAAGUCUUCGGAUGGAAAGAAGAACCCCUGAUGCCGUCGAGCCAAGAAAAGUUUCUAAGUUUAGCUAAUGUUGCCCGUACCGUAAACCGACACAGGUGGGUGGGAUGAGUAUUCUAAGGCGCGUGGAAGAACUCUCUUUAAGGAACUCUGCAAAAUAGCACCGUAUCUUCGGUA